rnacentral:pre_miRNA from 1 species
AAUGCUGAGUAAGAAGCCAAAUAAAGAAGCAGAAGCCAUCACUAGCGCCGCCCUAAUUAAAUGCUCAACCCGUCAUUUUGAUCGCAACGAGUUUUCAUCUGCAUAUGGGAAGAUUUUCAUGGAGAAGAAUGCUGUAGCAUUCAGUUAAGUCUGAUUGCAAACCUCGUGAUGUAUUGAGCAUUUACUUAAUAUGCUGAUGGUGACUUCUGCCUCUUGAUUUGGUGCCUGAAUCAACAUU